UAUGACGGCUUUAGAAAUGCCACAUCAUGGAUUUGACUGGAUAAAGUUAUAUGAAAUCUGGUGUCUAAUCAGGGAUUAGUUACACAGUAAAAUCAGCAGUGUAGAAAUUGCAGUGUUAAAUAUUAUUAAUUCUAAAAGAGUUAAAUUAAUAACCUACAGUGUUAACGAAUACUCCUUUGUAGUGUAGUUGAAGGGGUGACACAAGGUGUAAUUCUAUUUUUACACUUUAAGUGCAAAAAACCCGCCAAAUUAUCUUGACUCCUCCCCCCAAUUACCCCAUCUGAGGGGGAAGACAAAGAGGCCAUUUUCUUCGUGCAAGAUGGAAUGUGAGUAAGGUUAUUUUCGUCCUCUUUAUAAAAUUAAUUGUAUGUAAAAAAUGUAUAAAUGGCGUGUAAUUACUAACUAAAUGCUUUUAUCAGGAUUAAGGAUACUAGUCUAAGUUAAAUUCAGAAGUGAACAGAAGUUUGAGAAAGUUUCUCAAAGCGAUUUGAAACUUUCUGAUUUUCUAGACGAAGCCUUUGUGAAGUUCGGCAUUACCGCCUCUAGUCGGCCCGAGGCCAGGCUUUACGAUGAGUCUGGCACUGAAGUUGAUGAGGAUGUUUUCGAGGACGUUCUGAAGCAGCCGAAUUUGGGUGUUUUUCAGCAAAGAUUAGAGAAUUCUUCAAAUGAUAUGACCCAGGCCCCUUCAGUGUCAAGUGAAGAAAGCUCAGUUGAGAUUGCAAGCUGUGAAUCUGAUGACACCGUUCUUCUAAGUGAUGACAGUCCUACAGGAGAGCUGAAGAUGAAGCUGGAAUUCUUGUCCAGAAAAUCCUGCAAAGUAAACCUGGUGGGGAUGCAAUCAUCAGAGAGUACCACAAAACCAAAAGCCUGUCUGACAGCACCAGGAGAAAGAUGAUCAAAAUUCUUGCUGCAUAUAUGACUGAAAAGCACAUGUAACACAUUUGAGCACAUCUCCAACCAAACGCAUAAGAGAAAUGUAUGCCCAAGGAAUAAUCGCCCUGUUUCCGUAUCUCCGGGAUCCGUAUGCGAAGCAUGGAUAUGAACAUUAUUAUGACCCUCAGAGCAGACAGGGGUAUUUGUCAUGGAAAAUUAAGAACAUUCAAAGGAACAGUGCACCCUCAGAGAUCCGUAGAUGUGUCUCCCAGUCGUUCAGUGGUGGCCCAUCUGCGCAGAGAGAAGCUUCAUCCAGCACAGAGGUUAUCCUGACAGAAGAACAGUGUAGGGAAGCUGUUUCUUUAAUGAAGCAUACUUCAGAGGUGGACACAGUAAAGGUCAAAAUGAGCGAGACGUUUCAGUAUCGUCGCAAGAUGAAUCGUGACCCAAGCAGUUGCGCUGAUGUGCGGACUCAAUUUCCACGCUAUUUGGACAUUAAAGGCCUGAUUGAACUGGAUUUUGUUUUGAUUUUUGGUGAGAAGAUGCCACUGAACUCAUGUAUUAUAAACCUUUUGAUCUGCAGAUGUCCUAUGGGUCUGAUAAUUUCUUUUGGUUUGUUGUACCAUACUGCAGUCUUGUCAAAAUGUGAUUGUCAUGGUUUUAUUGCAAAACAGAUGAUUUCAUGUCUUUUAUUAAUGAUUUUAUAUCUGUGCAGUACUAUGAAUGUGACAAGUUGACCUGUACACAUGGCAUGUUUUGAAGUAGCCACUUUGUCCAUUUGUUAAAUAAACAUCUGAAUGUUUA